rnacentral:rRNA from 1 species
GAAAAGAACCCCGGCGAGGGGAGUGAAAAAGAACCUGAAACCGUGUACGUACAAGCAGUGGGAGCACAGGUUUACCUGUGUGACUGCGUACCUUUUGUAUAAUGGGUCAGCGACUUAUAUUCUGUAGCAAGGUUAACCGAAUAGGGGAGCCGGAGGGAAACCGAGUCUUAAUUGGGCGUUAAGUUGCAGGGUAUAGACCCGAAACCCGGUGAUCUAGCCAUGGGCAGGUUGAAGGUUGGGUAACACUAACUGGAGGACCGAACCGACUAAUGUUGAAAAAUUAGCGGAUGACCUGUGGCUGGGGGUGAAAGGCCAAUCAAACCGGGAGAUAGCUGGUUCUCCCCGAAAGCUAUUUAGGUAGCGCCUCGUGAAUUCAUCUCCGGGGGUAGAGCACUGUUUCGGCUAGGGGGCCAUCCCGGCUUACCAACCCGAUGCAAACUGCGAAUACCGGAGAAUGUUAUCACGGGAGACACACGGCGGGUGCUAACGUCCGUCGUGAAGAGGGAAACAACCCAGACCGCCAGCUAAGGUCCCAAAGUCAUGGUUAAGUGGGAAACGAUGUGGGAAGGCCCAGACAGCCAGGAUGUUGGCUUAGAAGCAGCCAUCAUUUAAAGAAAGCGUAAUAGCUCACUGGUCGAGUCGGCCUGCGCGGAAGAUGUAACGGGGCUAAACCAUGCACCGAAGCUGCGGCAGCGACGCUUAUGCGU